UUAGCUUCAGUUCCCACACCUUUAACUAAAGUCUCUAUGAUGAUUUGUCGAAUCAUUUAUUAAAAAAUAUGUGAAGUGUUGAAGUCAUUAAUUGACAUAUAAAAUGUGUUUUGUGUGGGGUAAUUUUAGUAUCUGAGAAGGACCUCAUCAUUUCAGAAAGUGUGGUAUCCCCCACAUGGUCAAAGGAUGACAACAUGGGGGAUACUGUAGAGCCCAUGGAGCAAGAUCCUUUCCUUGCAACCCCGCCCCCCAAUAAGUUCACAAAUCUUGGAAACAGGGAAUAUGCGUGGUCGUCCAAGGGCUCAGAAAUAGAGGAACCCUAUAUAUGAAUGAAAUUCGGUGCUGAAAAUGAUGCAUUUGAGUUUUACAAGGCUUUUGCAUUGGUGCAUGGGUUUGGUGUUAGAAAGGGAACUACUCACAACAAUAAGGAUGGAAAGAGAACUAUUAGGGAAUUUAUAUAUUUCAAGGAAGGAUUCCGUAUAGUGAAAGAAGUGUUACCUACAAAAACAUCCCUUAGUCAAGGUUGGAUGUGCAGCGAAGAUGUACGUACGAAUAAAUGCCAACAAUGAGUGGGUUGUCACAUGGUUUGUUAAGGAUCACAAUCACGACCUUUUAUCUCCAAGGAAUGCCCGACUCAUCCAAUUGCACCGAACAAUGUCGGAUGCGACAAAGACAAUGAUAAACUUUAUGAGCUCUGCUUUGGUAAAGUCACGGAAUAUCUAUAAUAUCUUUUUAAAGCAAGUUGGAGGGAUUGUUAAUAUCCCUUGCUCACAAAAAGACAUCGAAAACCAAUUAGGAAACAAGAGAAGAAAAAUCAAAAGGGAAGAUGGGAACCGUCCGAUGGAAUGGUUAAUCGAUAUGAAAAGGUCGAAUCCAUCUUUUUUCUAUAAGGUGAAAUUAGAUGAAGAAAAUCAUAUUGUCAGCCUAUUAUGGGUAGAUGACAUGUUAAGGGUGUUCUACAAUCAGUUCUCAUAUGUGGUCACUUUUGAUACCACAUAUAAGACAAACUCUUUUGACAUGCCCUUUGCUCUCAUACUUGAAGUGAAUCACCACCUUAGCACAAUAUUUUUUGGAUUUGCACUUAUAUUUGAUGAGAAUGUGGAGUCUUUUGUAUGGAUAUUUGAAAAUUGGCUAGAGGCAUUCGGUGGACGCCAACCGGGAGUAAUUAUCACUGAUCAGGAUCCUACAAUGACCGCUGCAGUGGGACAAGUUUUCAAUAAAAGCAAAUAUCAUUAUUGUAAGUGGCACAUUCUUUCAAAGAAAAUUUGUGUCAUGUCUUACGAAGGAGUCCAUCUUUUCCAGACCACUUCAGGAAUUGUAUAAUGAGCGAAACUAAGGAAGAAUUUGGGUCAGAAUGGAAAUCUCUAAUCGAGAAAUAUGAUCUUCAACAGAAUGAAUGGCUCAAUAGAUUGUACCAAUGUCGAAAGAAAUGGAUUGAUGCAUACGUGGCAGAUCCAUUCAUAAUCGGUAUGUCAUCGACUCAAAGAAGAGAAGAAAUGAAUGAGCACUUCAAAAAUUAUGUGACUUCCAAUACAAGCUUGUGCACAUUGUUGGAAACUACUCUAAAAGUGCAUGGUAAAAAACUUCUUAAGAUGAGAGAAAAUGACUUAAAUAGCAUCACAUCUACGCCUAUUUUGAGGACCACGUGUGACAUCGAGGCUCACGCUUUGAAGAUAUAUACACUCAAAGUUAUGACGUUGUUUGGGGAAGAAGUUGCACAAGACGUCAAUUACAUGAGUGAAAUUAUUGAAGAGAAUGACACAGUUGCAAUCUUCAAGGUAUCAAAACGUGGAACUGAAACAGGGCCUGCACUGUAGAGUUCAAUAGUAACGACAAAACUUUUUCUUGUACUUGCCACAUGUAUGAGAGGUUAGGCAUUAUUUGUAGGCAUAGGAUUAUGGUGUUCAUGGUGAGAAAUAUUUUUGAAAUCCCAUUGCAUUACAUAAUGAAGAGGUGGACGAAAAAUGUGAUGCAAGGUGUUGUAGUUGAUACCAACGGGAAACAAAUUCACAAAUUCAAGGUACUUUUGAUCUACCGCGUUCCAUUUGUUUUAAUGAGGUUUGUCAAGCCACUAGAGUGCUAGCAGAGCAUGCUUCAGAAAGUGUAGAACUUCAUACAUUUAUAAUGUCUGAAAUAGCAAGUACAGUUGCAAUGGUUGAGGCCAAGAUUGUGGGUGUGGUAUUGCCAUGUGGUGCUAUUAAGACCCCUUGCAACAGUCGUACAGAGAAUAUGAAUGCCGACAGUAGCAACCGCGCUGAGGUUAAGGGACAUGCACGCUAUAAUAUCCUUGAGCCCCCUCGGCACGAACAAAGGGGAGACCUACCAAUGAUAGAUAUGUACCUCGGGUUGAGAUAGAGACAGAGAAAGCAAACGCGAAAGCAAAAGAGAAGUCACCCGAAAGUGCGCAGUUUGCAAUGGGAGUGGACAUGACAGAAUGAAUUGUCUAGCUCUCGCACGUUCAAAGUAUGAAUGAACUAUUCCUCCGUUUUCCAUACUCUUUGUGAUGGUAAUAUGAAUUCCUUAAUUAUAAAUAUUUGAAAUGGAUUUUCUUCGUUUAGGUUAAAUGUCAAUAUAAGAUGCACGGAUGGGUCAUGUGAGAAUGUGGAAUACGAUGAGUAAUGGUAAGAAUUUUUAGAGUUUUGCAUUUUAAUCAAUAAACAAGUAUUUGUUUGCAUUGUAAGAAAUUUUAUUGCAUUCAAAUUUUCAUGCUUGUUUGGUUGCGUCUCUCUCUCUCCUUCUCUCUCUCUCUCCUUCUCUCUCUCUCUCUCUCUGAUUCAAACUCAACCAGUUCUCAUGUUUUAUAGCUUUCAUAGUAUCAUAUUCUUUGAGUGUGACUGUCAUAUGUCAUUUACAUCUGCUGGUGUUAUGAUGUUUGAUGUACUUGUUAAUGAACUUGCCUCUGGAACAGCUUCCUAGGAGGCAUUCAAGACCCAACAGAACUUGAGAAGGGCAUCAACAUGAUACCUAGACUCGUCAAGAAUGGUUUGUGUGCAUCAGAGAGAGAGAGAGAGGGAGAGAGAGACUUCAUUCUUGGCCUUUGAUUUUAAUGUCUGUAAUUCUUGUUCACAAUGGGGAUCUUUUAUCGUUUGGCAAUUGUCGCUGGUGUGGCAACAUUGCUGCUGAUCGUCAUUCAAGAUGGAGUUGAUGCCACUGUCAUGGACUUAACUGAGUUUAGGAAAGUUUUGGACAGUCAGAUGCAUGGAAAUUCACCUGUCCAAUUUGUUCUUUCUUUUGAUUGGUGAAGGAGGUAUGCAGAUUUGUAACUUAUGGUGCAGGACUCAGCAGCCUAAACAAUUAGAUACUAAGAAGCUACAACCCAGAAACAAUAGGUUUAUGGAAAAGAAUUUCUCAUUUAUUAUCUUCUUCUAUGGAUUUUUAAUAAUGGUUGGAUUCUUCUUUGGAGUUAAACUUAGAAAGUGUAAAUUUUAUUUUCUUAUGUAAAUUUUAUUUUGGUGAUAUUUUAUCCUUAGCUAGCUUCCAUAUGCGAUAGUAAUUUGAUCUAGCCGAUCAUCAUGUUGACUCCCUUUCGCACAUUCAAAGUAAGUGGUAAAUUCAUGUAAAUUCAAAGUAAGUGAAAAAUUCAUGGAUACGUGAAUGGGUAUUAUAGAUGCACUUCAUUUUUCACUAUCCCAAAUUUAAUACAUUUAAACCCCCUUCAAGUUAAUUUUGGUUCUAUACGUUUUUUAGGAUUUGGGAUGUGUUGCUUGAGGUAAAUGAUAUACAAGUGGAACGAGAGAGAGAGAUUUGGAUUCCAAAAAAGUGUCUUUUGAUUGGUUUCGUGGCUAGAGAUAAAGAGGUAAAAUAAGCUUCUUUCGGUUUUCAAUGGUUUUGGUGAUCAAUCGGUAUUUAAUUUUUUUUUUCAAAAAAAGUGUAUAUAAAUGAGAAACUCAGAAAUGCUCAUUAAUUACCCUUAUAAGUUCAUUCAUAGUAUAAGAAAUUCAGAAAUGCCCAUUAAGCAUGAAUACAAAGAGUCCAAUACAAUAGGUUAUAAUCGAAAUGUUGUUACUUGUUUGUGUUGUGUAUCCUCCCUAUUGAAACAAACAUCUUCCAACUUAUUCGGAUGAAACAAACAUAUGUCAAAAACAUUAAGCUACCAAAUCCCGAUGGUUCACACAAAGGCUGCAUUUGGACUCAUCACUCUCACUCUCACACACACACACUCUUUCUCUCU
rnacentral:lncRNA from 1 species